rnacentral:rRNA from 1 species
AUUGAACGCUGGCGGCGCGCCUAACACAUGCAAGUCGAACGUGAAAGUCCUUCGGGAUGAGUAAAGUGGCGCACGGGUGAGUAACACGUAGGUGACCUACCUUUUAGAGGGGAAUAACCAGAUGAAAAUUUGGCUAAUGCCGCAUACGAAGUACAAAUAUAAUAGUAGUACUUGAAAGAAUGCCUCUGUAUAUGCAUUCACUAUUAGAUGGGCCUGCGGGACAUUAGCUAGUUGGUGGGUAAUGGCCUACCAAGGCAACGAUGUCUAUCCGGUCUGAGAGGAUGAUCGGACACACUGGAACUGAGACACGGUCCAGACUCCUACGGGAGGCAGCAGUGGGGAAUAUUGCGCAAUGGGGGGAAACCCUGACGCAGCAACGCCGCGUGAGUGAGAAGGACUUCGGUCUGUAAAGCUCUGUUAAUGUGGAAAAAUAGGUUAGCGGUCUAAUAGGCCGUUGAUUUGAUGGUACACAAUAGAGGAAGCACCGGCUAACUUCGUGCCAG